ensembl:lncRNA
AAUGGGCCGCGCGGACGCCGCCCCUCCCCCCGACCCCGGCCGAUAGACGCGCAUCCUCCAGGUCCCCGUCAGCCUUUCGGGGAAAGCAGAAAUCAGAUGCUGUGCGAAGGACCCUUUGCAAAAGCUUCAGCCUGCUGGCCGAGCCGGACGCCCCGGGUGGAGGCCCCUGCGGGAUCGGCCGGCGCAGCCCUUGCUUCGUCGCCAAUCCGGCUAGCCACCCAGGUCCGGGGUGCGAUGCGGGGUGCAGAGAGCCUCUUUCGCUUCGCCGACGCCCUAGGACCACGCCAGAAGGAGGAACGCAGCGGGGCGCCCCGCAGAUGCAGACAGAACCCCGACGUGGGCAUUUUUGCAGAACUAUCCCAAAGCCAAGCGGCGUUGACUACUACUACUCGCCCCUCAGGCUCUCUAAGAAGAGGGAGGGAGCGUAAAAGACACUCACCCCUCAGUCCUAGUUAUUGGAACAUGUUCCCAACACCCUGGCUGUCCCAGUGGCUGGAAGCUUAUUGCAGGAAGUUCUAAAGACAUUUUAAAGCAAAGACCAGGAACAAUAUUUCAUUUGGAUCAACAUGAGCAAUCUGAAAGAGUAGACAGUGUUAACACAGACUGAGUCCUCACUUCCCU